rnacentral:rRNA from 1 species
UGCUUCUCUGAUGUUAGCGGCGGACGGGUGAGUAACACGUGGAUAACCUACCUAUAAGACUGGGAUAACUUCGGGAAACCGGAGCUAAUACCGGAUAAUAUUUUGAACCGCAUGGUUCAAAAGUGAAAGACGGUCUUGCUGUCACUUAUAGAUGGAUCCGCGCUGCAUUAGCUAGUUGGUAAGGUAACGGCUUACCAAGGCAACGAUGCAUAGCCGACCUGAGAGGGUGAUCGGCCACACUGGAACUGAGACACGGUCCAGACUCCUACGGGAGGCAGCAGUAGGGAAUCUUCCGCAAUGGGCGAAAGCCUGACGGAGCAACGCCGCGUGAGUGAUGAAGGUCUUCGGAUCGUAAAACUCUGUUAUUAGGGAAGAACAUAUGUGUAAGUAACUGUGCACAUCUUGACGGUACCUAAUCAGAAAGCCACGGCUAACUACGUGCCAGCAGCCGCGGUAAUACGUAGGUGGCAAGCGUUAUCCGGAAUUAUUGGGCGUAAAGCGCGCGUAGGCGGUUUUUUAAGUCUGAUGUGAAAGCCCACGGCUCAACCGUGGAGGGUCAUUGGAAACUGGAAAACUUGAGUGCAGAAGAGGAAAGUGGAAUUCCAUGUGUAGCGGUGAAAUGCGCAGAGAUAUGGAGGAACACCAGUGGCGAAGGCGACUUUCUGGUCUGUAACUGACGCUGAUGUGCGAAAGCGUGGGGAUCAAACAGGAUUAGAUACCCUGGUAGUCCACGCCGUAAACGAUGAGUGCUAAGUGUUAGGGGGGUUUCCGCCCCUUAGUGCUGCAGCUAACGCAUUAAGCACUCCGCCUGGGGAGUACGACCGCAAGGUUGAAACUCAAAGGAAUUGACGGGGACCCG